UACUCGAGUGGCGAACGGGUGAGUAACACGUGGGUGAUCUGCCCUGCACUUCGGGAUAAGCCUGGGAAACUGGGUCUAAUACCGGAUAGGAGCCAUUUUUAGUGUGAUGGUUGGAAAGUUUUUUCGGUGUAGGAUGAGCUCGCGGCCUAUCAGCUUGUUGGUGGGGUAAUGGCCUACCAAGGCGGCUACGGGUAGCCGGCCUGAGAGGGUGGACGGCCACAUUGGGACUGAGAUACGGCCCAG
rnacentral:rRNA from 1 species